rnacentral:misc_RNA from 1 species
CGGCAGUGUCCAUGUGCCUUUUUUAAAAUAAAGAAAUCCAAGCGGAAACCAAAUGAAGAAAUGACAGGGAAAGGGGAGCAGCUCAGUUUCAGUAUACCCUACUAAUGGGGUUACGGAAACAAUCCUCUCCAACAGGGAAACAAUCCUCUCCAAUAACGAUUUCUCAUAUACAACUAUCCUUUCUGUUUUCUCUGUGGCUCGAUCUACUCAAUUGUUUCUUUUUAUCGCUUUCCCUUUCCCUCUUGCAGAUCUCCCAUUUGAGACACCCUCCAGCUUCAUGCCAUUUUUGAAGGCUUUCCAAGUUGAAAUCUGCUUAGAAAGCUAGUCAGCGACUACCGACUAGUAUCGCUGGUUCUGGCUGAGUGAGAUCUAGAGUUUCCGGUUGGGGAGGACAUAGAAUCUGCUGUUUUCUUGAGGAUAGGAGGCUGAUCAAAUGGCUGAACAAAUUUCAGUAGAUGAAUGGAAGAAAAAGGGUAAGAAGAAGCAGAAAAGAAAAAAGGAGUAUUAAAAAGCAUACCGUGGUGGUGGAUUCAAAGAAUGUUGAUGAAAAGAAUGAUGAAGAUGAUUUUGAGAUUGAGAGGAAGUCUACUAAAAAUGAGCUUGUGGAGUAUACAACUGGGGACUUUGUUGAAGUUCGAGAUGUGGCGAAAAUUUCUGAAGCUGAUUUUGAGGAAAGAAAAUGCCAAAUUGAUUAUUGGAUACAUAGAGGAAAUGAAUCUUGUGCAGUUUCUCAAGCUCAUUUAUCAAAAAUGAGGAAUUUUCAAAUCAUUGAUGAGGUUGUAUCCUAAUGACUCUCACGGCAAUUGGAUAAAUGGUAUUGCUAUUGUUAAUGGUGAAGUAAAAUUAUACAAUAUGAGAUAUGAAGGUAAGUGCUAAUUUUAUAUUUUAUGCAUACUUAUGACAUUAAAAUAGAUCAUUAUGUUAUUGUUCGUUGUUAGAUGCAAUGCAUGUUUUAUAAUAAUUUAUUGACUUGUUUAUUUAAAUAGUUUGUGUGUGGGAAUUAUAUAAAUAAUAUAUCUUAAUUCUAUUUUUAGUUGGUUUCAUGUUUUUUUUGAGUAAAUAUUUUGUUUCUUUGUUUAUAAAGGAAAUGGAAGGGCAUUUGACUGACAUUAAGAAUUUGCAUCGGAUAAUCCUAGCUGUGUUGAUGAAAUUGUCUCUGAAAGAAUUUGAUGAUGAGUCAUUUGAUUGGCAAGUGAAGGCUAAACGAUCUAAAUAUUUCUAUAAAAAAUAUUGCUUGGAGGAAUUUGCGCAUUUAAUGUGCGAAUUACACUGGUACAUUGACAAUUAAGAAAUUUUCAUAUGUUCAAGAUGUGUUAUUUAUUAUUGUUUAUGUAGUCUUGCAUGAAUUUUGUUGUUUUAAUGGCUGACUUCUUUCACAGUAAGUAUCUACAAGUAUUUUUUUAUAAAUCAUUCUUUUGGGAUCCUAUAGAAAGAAAAUGGUUUUUAGAAAAAGUUACUUAAUGUGGACGAAAAAUGAUUAUCUAUUGAAAAGGUAUGUUGAUAGUUGUUUUGAUAGCAAGUGGAGUUGAUGGAUAUAUGUACCACCCAAAGGACUUUUUAGAGAUGUACUGGAAUAUAAAAUGGGUCAAAAUAGUGGUGGUCGGGAUGAAAGUCAAUACAAGAAAGUGGAUGCAAUCAGGUUUUGGCAUAAUUGUCGAUUUCAUUUGAAUAAUCAUUUGGACAAGUCUAAAAGACCUGUAAGUAAUAUUUUAAUCUUUAUUUGGUGUUCUUAUUAAUUUAUUUAAUAAAUUUACUUUUAUUGCUAUUACUCAUUAAUUGUAUUAAAAUAUAUUUCUAUCAUUUUAUUUUGCUCUCAUUCCAGAAACGUGUUGAAUAAAUUGAGGAUGAGUUAAAUGAGAAAUUUAGUAUAUGCUAUAACGUGUUUAAAGCUGUGUUGGCGACCAUCUAUUACAGGAAUUAGAAAUCUUUGUUCCUGUAAGUAAUGUGGCAUUUGUGGCCUUUAAUCUUGCUUAUUUUCUCAUGACUGCAUAGGUGUAUUUUUUUUUUCUUUCUUGUAGGUCUUCAAGACAUAAAUUGACUACAAUGCUACAUGAAAGAUUUGGAUUUGGGCUGCUGAUUAACCAGCAAAGAGUUGAUACAGGGAGCAACCAAUAAGGUGAAAGAUUUGGAGUGCUCUUAGCUAGAAGGGAGUUGGCGAUUUUGUCAAUUUUCAUUUGCUUAUAGACCUUGUUCAUGGUUAGUAUUUCUUUAUUAUCCUUCAAAUUGUCUGAUCCAUCGGGUGGAACAAGUGUUCUAUUUUCGCUCCUACUUGUGUUUCUAAAGUUGUUGAUCUCUAAAUCAAAUACUGUUUAAUUCAUUGAAAGCUAAGUCAGAGCACUACAAAUGACAAAGAGGGACUAAAGCCCAAAUCAGUCUCCAAGGUUGUCAAAAUGAGUUAUGGAUCUAUUACAAAAGCCCACACUUGAUGUGUUACGACCAGUCUUGGGAUUUAUUUUAUAUCUGAAGCUCCGGAGGUCCAAAUGAAGCAAACCCAAGCCCAAUUGAACCUUAAGAACCACCUCUAUAAUUUCUAUGAAGAGCUGGAAGCAAGAUAAGGCCGUUUUAAUUAUCAAAAAUGGAAAUGAAGUCGUCAUUAUGGGCUAGAUACUCUGUCAGAACCAGUUUUGGUUUUUGGCCCUUAACUUGGGCUGUAGACCUCCGAUUUGGGCAAAUAAGGAUUCGUUGGAAAGUUAAGAAGUAGGGCU